UAAAAGUUUUGUCUGAAUGGAUCGAAAUUUUUAUAUCGCUUUUAAAUACGACAAUAAAAAUGGCGGAUUUUUUAAAAAAGCGUUGUUGACAUUUUUUUAAUGGAACACCCAGUAUUUUUUUGUAAAUUGAAAGAAAGGUCAUUCACCUAUCCAGCAAUAUAAAGUUUUUCAAAAUUGGUGGUCAAAUCACUGAGUAAUUAAUUUUUAAAAUGAGAGGUGCAACGUGGAUAUCACAUACCUAAAUAACAUAACUAAGCAAAAUGAUAUUAUGUUAUGUGAUUUUCACAUUGCAUCUUUCAUUUUAAAAAUUAUUUGCUCAGUCAUUUGACAACCGAUUUUAAAAAAUUUAAUAUCGCUGGAUAGGUAAAUGACCGUUUUUUAAGCUAUAAAAAAAUAUACUGGGUGUUUCAAUAAAAAAAGUCAAAAACGUUUUUUUUUCCAAAAAUCCGCCAUUUUUUAUUUAAAACCGACAAAAAAAAUGGUAAUUUACCUAAAAACUUGAAAAAACGGUCAUUUCCCUAUCCAACGAUAUAAAUUUUUUUAAAAUCGGUGGUCAAAUGACUGAGAAAUUAAUUUUUAAAAUGAGAGAUGCAAUGUGGAAAUCACAUAACAUAAUAUCAAUUUGCUUAGUUAUGUUAUUUAGGUAUGUGAUAUCCACGUUGCACCUCUCAUUUUAAAAAUUAAUUACUCAGUGAUUUGACAACCGAUUUUGAAAAACUUUAUAUCGCUGGAUAGGUGAAUGACCUUUCUUUCAAUUUACAAAAAAAUAUACUGGGUGUUCUAUUAAAAAAAAGUCAACAACGUUUUUUUCAAAAAUCUGCUAUUUUCCUUUUCGUAUUUGAAAGCGAUAUAAAAAAUUCAGUCCAUUCAGACAAAACUUUUACUAAAACAAAACAUUUCAGCGAAAACCGCAUAUUUCUAUCUUGAGCCGUUUAUAAGUUAUAGGCAGUUAAAAUGGGGGAAAAUAUAAAUGGAAAAAUAUAGGCAUAUAAAUGGUACAAUAGACCAUUGUACCUAAGUAUAUACCUAGAAAUGCGUAGAAAAAAGUUAGAGAACAAUGUUUGCGAAAUAAUGUGGAAAUAGCCCAAAAAUGCUGUGAGUGGCGAAUUUUGAAAAAUCCUAUUUCGGAAACUAUAAAUCCUAGAGACUUUUACCAAACUUCAUUUUAAAGAGGAAAAGUUGAAGUUAUUUUUCGCUGAAGCAAUGCCUAUACCUCUAUCCCUGUGGAAAAAAGUUAUGGGGCAAAAAACAAAAUUGCUUUCUUUCAUGUUUUUUUCUUGCUUUUCUUUAGAAUAUAUUUUUGUAAAAGAAAUAUUUUUGACUUUAAAAUGUAUUAUUUAGAUAGUAAAUUUAACCUGGAACAAUUUUCCUGUAGACGUGUUUGAACCAAAAGUGCAUAGAACUCACCCUAAUUCGCCCUGUGCCUAGGGAUUAAUUCACCCCUUUCUAAAAAACGCACCCCUUUAAAUGGUAUCACUCCGUGGUUUUUUCAAACUUAGAGGUCCAUUGACCAUAUGAGACAAUAAAAUCGCGUUAACGUUGUAGUUAAUUUUAGCUCUCUUAUUUUGAACAUAAUCAAUAGCCUACUAUGGAUUAACUCCACAUCUCAAAGCUAGCAAGUAUUUUUCAGUUAGAUCCGUAGAUCCAGUAGUAAAGCUUUAAAAUGACGAAUUAUUAUAAAUGUUGAUUUAAUAAUUUUUUGCUCAUAAAACUAUGAAAACAAUAAGGAUUCUUGAUUUUUAAUUAAUUUUAACAACUCAUGUAAAAAGGAACGUAUGUAUUUCCCUGGAGUAGGCUUAUUUCUCUAAUCUGAUGCUGGCUGGAUACCGUGACAUAUUAUUAUUGUGUAUUAGGUCUGGAUCCCGCGUAUGAAAAAAAAAGUUGAUUAAUAGUGUAACGUUACAAACGUCACAUCUUUGAUAUUUUAUUUUUAAAUAAUUAUUUUACCUUAUUUCCUUUAAUAUUUCAUUAAUAAUUAUCUUCUUCUAUUUGGUUUACCCAUUUCUCCUUUAAAAAUUGGUUGGCGUCCGUUCUAUAAUAGGCAACCCUAUUUACAUUGUAUCAUCUCUUGUGUUCCAUGUUCGUUAUUUCAAAUUUCGCUCCAACCCAGAUAGCAUGUAAACUUGUGGCAAGUUUGAUUCUUCUUUGAUUUUAAAUUGCUGCGUCAAAUAUGACGAGGCAAGUUUGUGUCAAGUUUGCUGCAAUAUUGUUAUGACAUAGAUGAUGAUUCAAGUUUGUAGCAACUUUGCUGCAAGCGUACAUUUGCAAAGCCAUGUCACGCGUGUCAUCUAUUACACGUUACGGUCGGUUCGGUUCGGUUUCGUCCGUUACCCUGACUGAUGUCAAGCCCACGAAAACGAGAGUGUUGCCACCUGUGGUAAAUUUCCCUUUCUGCGAGAAUUUUCAACAUAAAAGGGAAAAAGUUAUCUUAUCAGGGAAUCUUUGCUCCAGUCCAAAUUGUAAAAUAUUUAUAAAAAUCAAAAUAUUUAAAAAUAAUUCAACAUAAUAUUUUCACAGAUUUUUUAAAUAGAAGCAUAGGAGGGAAUUUUAUCAUAAAAGUGGGAAUUUUUAAGGUAUCUACGUUGAGGGAAAAAGCUUACUCGACAGCUGGCAACACGGGAAAAGUAACCUGCCAUCCUGCCGUGCCAAGCGGUGAUAAUUUGUGGUUAGAUUGUUAGGUAUAUCCUAUCCUAUGUUGAUAUUUUUCUUUGAUUUUUUUUACAACACUUACCGUACAAUUAUCCGAGACUAUUACUUUAAUUACUAAGCUGAAGCUUGUUUUCUUCAUUUUUUCAUAGACCCACCUGCUUGUGGUGAUUAGAGCUGAGAGACAAAACUGAGCAUCGGAAUCUGAAGCUAGCGGGUUUAAUGUAAGUUCAAAUAAAUAAUUUUAGACAAUAGAUUGUAUUUUAGUUGAGUGAUUACUGAAUAAAUAGUUAUAUAAAAUGGUAUUGUAUUUUUUAUUCACAUUGUUUUAUUCAAAUUGUGGCUAGUAUGUCAAAACAAACCUUAAGUAAGUUUGUAUCAAGUUUGAAAAUACAAACUUCAUGCAACAAAACAAAAACAAACCUUCAGCAAGUUUAUUAUAUCAAGUUUGUAUCAAGUUUGAAAAAACAAACUUCAUGCAAGUUUGUCACACACCAACUAGCAAGUUUGAUUUAAACUUGCUGCAAGCUUGCAAAAUUGCCAUGGCAAACCUACAGCAAACUUUCAUGUUUGAUGUAUCAAACUUGUUGCAAGUUUGAAACAAGUUUAUAUUGCUAUCUGGGAAGGUUCGUUGUCAUCAUUUUAAUGACAGUGACAACCCCCAUAUCUCAUUCUCAAAAUGGAGGGGUAAUGUUUUAAAAAAGCAGAGCAGCUUCAAAAAUAAAUCAUUUCUAUUUCAACAAAUCUUCCUCUUGGGUUUUUGGGAUAAAAAUCAACGUCCUCCCUCCGGGAGCUUCAGGAAUCCUCAAUCGCCGGCGAUAUAACAACGAGGGACAUGUCAUCUAGACUGCAACCACAUUCCAUCUUGACUGCAACCAACCAACACCUGUAGGCCUGGUGGCCUAGAACAUCCACGUCUCCAGAGCCGGUUGCAGAACCAGCAGCAGUACCAUUCAACAUCAAGAAGAUGCCAUCAGCUACCAAAAGCCAUAAGUAUAAUCCAGAAUUGUUAGUUUUUGGCAAGAAUUUGAAUACAUUUGUUAAUGCAAUUUACUA